CUACGUACCGGAAGAGGAGGAGCCAUUUCGCCAGCUUUUCAUUUUAUUUCUAAAACAAUGGCGGACAGCACAAGCGGUAGACCACGAAGCUACAGACCGUAAAUAGACGUUUCCUGGAGGUGCUGGUGCUGGUCCUCUGCUGCCCUCCCGACAUCUGCAUCUGGCUCCAAUGACCUCUGGCACCUCACAUCCACCUCCAGGGCCUUGAAGAAAUGGACCGCCAUCGCGUCUUCAGUAUCCCGAAGGACCUCUCCACAACACAGCUGGCCUUUGACAGGCAGCAGUUGUAACGUGCUUGGAGGUGGACAGGCUGCCUGAAGGGGGUCAUGAGGCAGAUGGGUUGGGACAGGCAGGGGUAGCCACCAUCCCCAAGGAUACAGUAUCCUGGUGGAGGGGAUGACUGCUCAUAGAAGAUGGGGCUGUUAUUCAGGACCCUGGCAUCAUGCACUGAGCCCGGGGCCUGUCGAAGGCCCUGGCCACCACCCGAUAGGAGGUGGCGCUGGCAAGCCAAACAAUAAAAACUAGACAGGAGAUCUCGGGGCCCCAACCGUGGUCAGUCAGUGCCCAGCACAGCCAUGAGGGCGUUGAAUGACUCGGUGAGCCUGAAGUCCACCCUCAUGUCACUGUGGCCAUCACAACACAACGCCAGCAGUGGCAUUGCAGCAUGGAUACGGCAGCGCCGCCUGGGACUGGGUGGCUGCUGUAAAGUGUGGGGAGGGGAGGGGAAGGGAAGAUUAUAUUAAUAUGCAAGUCAUUUUAUCAAUAAAAUGUUGUCAUUGAG